GGGCGUGUCGCAUAGCGGCAAUUGCACUUGGCUGUAAACCAAGCGGCUUCGGCCUACGGGGGUUCGAGUCCCUCCGCGCCCACCA
rnacentral:tRNA from 1 species